UACGGUGGGGGCAAGCGUUGUUCGGAAUUACUGGGCGUAAAGGGCUCGUAGGUGGCCAACUAAGUCAGACGUGAAAUCCCUCGGCUUAACCGGGGAACUGCGUCUGAUACUGGAUGGCUAGAGUUUGGGAGAGGGAUGCGGAAUUCCAGGUGUAGCGGUGAAAUGCGUAGAUAUCUGGAGGAACACCGGUGGCGAAGGCGGCAUCCUGGACCAACACUGACGCUGAGGAGCGAAAGCCAGGGGAGCAAACGGG
rnacentral:rRNA from 1 species